rnacentral:rRNA from 1 species
CCUACGGGAGGCAGCAGUGGGGAAUCUUAGACAAUGGGCGCAAGCCUGAUCUAGCCAUGCCGCGUGAGUGAUGAAGGCCCUAGGGUCGUAAAGCUCUUUCGCCAGGGAUGAUAAUGACAGUACCUGGUAAAGAAACCCCGGCUAACUCCGUGCCAGCAGCCGCGGUAAUACGGAGGGGGUUAGCGUUGUUCGGAAUUACUGGGCGUAAAGCGUACGUAGGCUGACUGAUCAGUCAGAGGUGAAAUCCCAGGGCUCAACCUUGGAACUGCCUUUGAUACUGUCAGUCUUGAGUUCGAGAGAGGUGAGUGGAAUUCCAAGUGUAGAGGUGAAAUUCGUAGAUAUUUGGAGGAACACCAGUGGCGAAGGCGGCUCACUGGCUCGAUACUGACGCUGAGGUACGAAAGUGUGGGGAGCAAACAGGAUUAGAUACCCUGGUAGUCCACACCGUAAACGAUGAAUGCCAGACGUCGGGUAGCAUGCUAUUCGGUGUCACACCUAACGGAUYAAGCAUUCCGCC